GUCAGUGACGAUAGCUCUGCAUUUAAAUGAAAAUGUUAAAAUCUCUUCGUUCUAUUGAUUAGAAAAUUUUACCUUUGUUCGCACCAGACAGCGAGACCGAUAAGACUAAGAGACAAAAUUGAAACGAUAGCUGGAGAUUAAAUGUAAACGAGUUUAGAGGAAUUGAAAUAUAUACCAGCCGUAAUGUUGGCUCGGCAGAAAUCGGGCGACAGUUCCAAAUAGACGAGUGUUUGUGGCGAGACGCGCAGAAUUUGUGAAGAGCCCGAUGAGGUCUUGGCGCCGUUAGCUGAUGAGCUGCUGCCGUCGAUCUGCAGGAUGCCGUUGCUGUAGCCAACCCUGUUUACGAGAAAAACAAAUGGCAAAAAACAAAACAAGAUUUAACCAGCUGAUCAUUAAUGUUCAUUGUCAAACUUAUCAUUUUGUGGAGUCAUAAAAUAAUAUCGACAUGAUAUGUCCCUUGUCAGAAGUUGACAAUAAACAGAGGCCUGCAAGUA